GAUGAAGAACGCAGUAAAUCGCGAUAUGUAAUGUGAUCUGCCUAUAGUGAAUCAUCAAAUCUUUGAACGCAUCUUGCACCUUAUGGUAUUCCAUAAGGUACGUCUGUUUCAGUACCACUAGUAAAUCUCCCCUCCACCUUGGUGGUUUAAAAGGAAGAGAUAAAUUAUUACUGGUUCUGGUGAUUCUUGAUUUAUUAAGAAUUACUCUCGACCUAAAUAUAAGGCUCGACUUUUUUAUUAGAUCUUGCAUCUGGUAAAACCUAGUCGGCUUUAAUAGGAUUUAUUUCUUAUUAGGUUUAUAGCCAUCAUUUUACUUUUAAAUCUUGGCCUGAAAUCAGAUGGGACUACCCGCUGAACUUAAGCAUAUCAAUAAGCGGAGGA
rnacentral:misc_RNA from 1 species